rnacentral:rRNA from 1 species
UACGGAGGGAGCUAGCGUUGUUCGGAAUUACUGGGCGUAAAGCGCGCGUAGGCGGCUUUGUAAGUUAGAGGUGAAAGCCCGUGGCUCAACCCCGGAAUUGCCUUUAAGACUGCAUCGCUUGAAUCCGGGAGAGGUGAGUGGAAUUCCGAGUGUAGAGGUGAAAUUCGUAGAUAUUCGGAAGAACACCAGUGGCGAAGGCGGCUCACUGGACCGGCAUUGACGCUGAGGUGCGAAAGCGUGGGGAGCAAACAGG